rnacentral:rRNA from 1 species
AACGUAGGUGGCAAGCGUUAUCCGGAAUUACUGGGCGUAAAGGGUGUGCAGGCGGGGAUACAAGUGGUGUAUGAAAUCUCCCAGCUUAACUGGGAUAGGUUAUGCCAGACUGUAUUCUAGAGGACGAGAGAGGGGGGUGGAAUUCCGGGUGUAGUGGUGAAAUGCGUAGAGAUCCGGAGGAACCCCAGAGGCGAAGGCGGCCCCCUGGCUCGUACCUGACGCUCAGCCACGAAAGCAUGGGAGCGAACGG